UUAUAACCAGUUUAAUUUAAAAACUAAAGCAAGAAUGUAAAAGUAAAUUCUAAUCGAAGUUAGUGUUUUAGGUUUGUUACAAUACCUUUAUGUUUUACAGAAAAAAAGAGGAUAGCCCCCCCCUACAGAAGGUGUGUUAUGACUUAUUAUCACUUUACUUUGUAGAUAGCUGCAAUUUGAAGAUGUAGGUUCCAUACAUUCAUUAUCCAGAUUCAUUUUUUUAUUUGUACAUUUUUUUCAGUUUAUUAAGCGCAGGACGGCAGCAGAGGUGGUAUGUAUUUAUUGGUAUUUAUAUAUUGUUCCAGUUUUACUCCCUUUUCACAUUUAGGGAAGAGGAGAGGAGGUGAUCGGGGCUGCGGAGGGAGUCGCGGCGGCCGAGGUUGUGUGAAAACAAUAAUUUUGUAUGACAUUUUUUGUGUUGUAAUAAACUAGAACAGUGUAUUUGAAUGUUAGUUUAAAAAUCAAAUUGUCAGCUGUUCCACCACGCGGCACCCAUGAGGUCGCUUUGUAUGCGUGAUCGUAAGGUUUUCACCGGAGAACCUUCGCAAUGCCAUGGUGUGAAAACAAUGGAGAUGUUAACCAACCUCGGCAAUGCCAUAUUAACCAAUAUGUAAUAUAUUGAGAAUUGGCAGGGUCUCACAAGACACACAGUGUACGUUGCUGUUAUAGCAUAUGCUUGAAAAAUAGGCAUUGGCCCGGGCCAUACACGGAACCGUGUUUGUUGCUGUUAUAGCAUAUGCUUGAAUAAUAAGCAUUGGCCGGGUCAUACACGAAACAUAGUGUAAGUUGCUGUAAGCAUUGUAUCAAAUAAGAUCAAAUGAGGUAAAUAACCUAAAAAGUUGAGCGCAUGGCCAGAGGGAACACAAGGAAUGUAAAUGCAAUUACUGGGGAAUGUCAGGCAUCCGCAACGACUUUAACUUAUAGAAUUUAGAAAGACGCUGUAGUGUUUACACACCGGCCCCAAAAUGACAUGUCCAAGGUAUAAAAGAAACCUCUACCGCUGCACAGCUAACACUGAAAUGAACUAAAAGGACGAGCGCAUGGCCAGACGAAACACAAGGAAUGUAAAUUGCAAUUAACGGGGAAUGUAAAGACGGGUUGGCACUCUGAGGCUUAUUCAAAUAACAACCAAGGUAUAAGAACCUACGACAAGAACUAUCUAACCGUUUUAUUUUCUAACAACCAAGGUAUAAGAACCUACCGCUACACCAGCUAACAUUGAAAUAACCUAAAAAGUUGAGCGCAUGGCCAGAGGGAACACAAGGAAAGUAAAUGCAAUUAAUUACUGGGGAAUGUGAAGACGCGCGCAGGCAUCCGCAACGACUUUAACUUAUAGAAUUUAGAAAGACGCUGUAGUGUUUACACACCGGCCCCAAAAUGACAUGUCCAAGGUAUAAAAGGAACCUCUACCGCUGCACAGCUAACACUGAAAUGAACUAAAAAGACGAGCGCAUGGCCAGACGAAACACAAG